rnacentral:lncRNA from 1 species
AAAAAUCGGAUAUCCGAUUUUUUAAACCGAUUUGGCAUAAAUCGGGGCGGAAAAGUGAUGCGUAACGCCUAGGCGGCUAGGCGGCCGAGUUUUAGAACAGGGGUAUGAGAAAUUAUACUAUAACACCUCGUGGUUGAUGUGGUCACUAGUUCCAUAAACAGUGAAGGUGUUGUGGUUUUGUUUGAAAUUAUACUGUGUCACACGUAUCUGGAAAACAAAUUAUUUUCCAGCAAGUUCCGCAAAGCAUAGUUGGAAUUCCUCACAGAGACCACCAUUCAUCUGCAGCGGGUGUAAGAAUUAAUAGCUGCAAAAUGGUUAUUACAGUGCUAUACUUUAAACUAAGUUUGUGUGAAUCAAAAAACAAACCUGAUUUAGAGUCAGAGCAGCUGAUUUAUUUUUUUGUGAGUUUAAGCAUUUCUCUGUCGAAGACCACAAAAGUGGCAUUGUUUAAUGUUCAUUAAUAAUCUUGAUAAAACUAUUUAGAAUAUUAUUGCUUUUCCUUGGAAUGUUCCUUGUGAGACGCAAGUUGAUUAUGUAAAAAUCUCAAAUAAAGAGAAGUGAAACUGAAACUAUGUCCUUCAUACCAUUUCAUUACAAACCAUUUCAAGCAAAAACAGUAUUAGAAAAAUCUUAGUAUAACAUAAGAUUCAAUCCUUCUUCACAUCUACUGCUUCGUCUUUUUCUCUGUUGCCUUCUUCCAUAAUGUUUUUCGUUUCUUUUGUCUCUUCCAUAGUUUCACCCUCUAGAUCAUUAUCUUCUUCUGCAACAGCAGGAAAACAACUCAUCACUACUACCAAAAUAAAACCAUCAACUACACUUAACUGCUUUAAACAACACCAAGUCAAUAUCCUUCCUAUGCAUGGUCCAAAACCUUACCUUAACAUGCAUCUUCUGCAUUUUGUUUCAAGCAUGCUUAAUAUAACGUUAACCCACUUUAACUAUUAAAUUAUAGAAAUUAUUCCCCUCUUAUGAGGUACGUAGUCGUAAAUGGAUUUUUCAAAAACUUGGAAACGGGGAAAAUAUUGCAAAAUCCGAAAUAAGAAAUGCAUAGUAAUUUAAAGAAUUGCAAAGAGACCGAAGCAGAGUUGGGUUGACGGUUUCACAGUUUUGUAACUUCACUCACGGGGGUUCUUACGACUACCCUCUUUUCCCUUAACACCGGAUGGAUUUGGGUCAUCGCCUUGACCUUCAACCUCGUUGCUGGAAGCUUCCAACUCCCAAGCUGAAUACAAAAUAAGGAAGUUCGUCAAAAAUAGUUCACAAUCAGUGCUGCAUCACAGAACCAGAUUAAACUAUCGUGUAGCUCGCUUACUGACACACAAAUUCUGCAUCAAAUAUUACCCAUCACGAUAUAGAAACCAAAUCGUAAGCGAGUUGUUUUAUUAAAUUAACAUCCAGCAACUAAAGGAUUCCAUCAGCACAUCAAAGGCUUCAGCUUUUUAAUACAUGACUUAAAAUUUCAAGGAAUCAUGUUCAUAUACUUUUUCUUAAUCAUGCAACCCCACAAUGAAUUGUAACUUUUUUUUUUGCUAAGACAAUUAUAACAAUUGACAAACGACCGAGCAGCUUUUUUAUUUCUUUGGUUCAUGUACAGAUCAGACCAAGCGGAUUUCAUCAAAUCAAAACACCAUCACAAAACAAUCACUACACAUAAGCGUUUUCUUUUUUUUCAGUCACUGAUUCAAACGUGUAUUCAAUGGGACAAAACUAUAUUAAUCAAAAAACUAAAAGCAAAAUAGAAGGUUAAAUAGCUAGUAGUUAGUUUUGUAAUUGUCAAAACAAAAAAAAAAAUUAACUUUUUUUUUGGUUUCAGUGGACAUGGAAGCUUCUCAAAUGACCCGAGGUUGAACAGUGUGGUGGGUCACCUUCUUCAUUCCUCUAUUCUAGUCCCUUACCAUGGCUGGUUAGUUUUGCUUUUCUCUCAGAAACUACUUGCAGAGUCUUUUGUCUUCUUCUUCUUCUUCAUGUUAUAAAGUAUGUGACUUUGAUUUGACCUGCAGGAGAAUUAGCCACAGAACUCACCACCAGAACCAUGGACAUGUUGAGAACGACGAAUCUUGGCAUCCUGUAAGUUAUUAACACAGGUCAUGUGGUGUUUCUUUUAUUUAUACACUGUUUCUGUAACUGCAGAUGUCUGAGAAAAUCUACGAGAGUUUGGACAAACCGAUUCGGUUCUUUAGAUUCACACUGCCUCUCGUCAUGCUCGCUUACCCUUUCUACUUGGUAAAGAAAAACUCAUCUGUUGUUAACUUAAACUGACACAUCAAGUGCAAAAACAAGGCUCAUGUUUUCUUCAUCUGUUGUUUCAGUGGGCAAGAAGUCCGGGGAAGAAGGGUUCUCAUUACCAUCCAGACAGCGACUUGUUCCUUCCUAAAGAGAGAAAUGAUGUUCUCACUUCUACCGCUUGUUGGACUGCAAUGGCUGCUCUGCUUGUCUGUCUCAACUUCGUGAUGGGUCCAAUGCAAAUGCUGAAACUUUAUGUGAUUCCUUACUGGGUAAUGCGUCUCUGUUACUCCCCUGAUUCAUAUUAUUCCCUUUGCCUGACACCACAAUUGUUUUUUUAAUGUCAAAAUACAGAUAAAUGUUAUGUGGUUGGACUUUGUGACUUACCUGCAUCACCAUGGUCAUGAAGAUAAGCUCCCUUGGUACCGUGGGAAGGUAGUCUUUGGCCUUUGUAGACAACACCAUGUUAUCUCUCUCUCUCUCUCUCUUUAAGGUUGUCUAAACUCUCAUGUCUCUCUCGGAAACAGGAAUGGAGUUACUUGAGAGGAGGACUUACAACAUUGGACCGUGACUACGGAUUGAUCAACAACAUCCAUCACGACAUUGGAACUCAUGUGAUACAUCAUCUUUUCCCUCAGAUCCCACAUUAUCAUCUAGUAGAAGCAGUAAGUAGUUGAAACGAAAGUUUGAUUUUUGGUGUGUUCAUGCUACUACAGAAGCUUAGAACUUAUCUCUGUGUGUCUCUUGGUUGCUUGUUUCUCCUUUGCAGACAGAAGCAGCUAAACCAGUAUUAGGGAAGUAUUAUAGGGAGCCUGAUAAGUCUGGACCUUUGCCAUUGCAUUUACUGGGAAUCUUAGCAAAAAGUAUUAAAGAAGAUCAUUUUGUGAGCGAUGAAGGAGAUGUUGUAUACUAUGAAGCAGACCCUAAUCUCUAUGGACAGAUCAAGGUAACAUCAGAAUGAAAUGAAGCAUGCAAAGAGAGAAAGAGAGAGAAGCUGUCAGAUUUAUCUAUUUCUGACCAGCUGAUUUUUUUUGCUUAUUAAUGUCAAUUCAUUGUGUUACCAUUAUCUCUGAAUACAAUCAGAUGGAAACCCCAACUUUGUUUUCAAUACUUGAAGCAUAUAUAUAAGAUACAUUGUACUGUCAUUAGAUUCUCAAGGUUUUUUAUACAUAUUUUGUAUUUGAGUGAUUACACCAAACAUUAUUCAGUUUGGUUGGUUUUGUAUUUUAAGGUAAGUUUCAAUUAUAAUUUCAUUCAUGCGGUGAACAUGUAACUACUGUCAUAGACUAUUUCUACACGGAAAAAAAUCGGAUAUCCGAUUUUUUAAACCGAUUUGGCAUAAAUCGGGGCGGAAAAGUGAUGCGUAACGCCUAGGCGGCUAGGCGGCCGAGUUUUAGAACAGGGGUAUGAGAAAUUAUACUAUAACACCUCGUGGUUGAUGUGGUCACUAGUUCCAUAAACAGUGAAGGUGUUGUGGUUUUGUUUGAAAUUAUACUGUGUCACACGUAUCUGGAAAACAAAUUAUUUUCCAGCAAGUUCCGCAAAGCAUAGUUGGAAUUCCUCACAGAGACCACCAUUCAUCUGCAGCGGGUGUAAGAAUUAAUAGCUGCAAAAUGGUUAUUACAGUGCUAUACUUUAAACUAAGUUUGUGUGAAUCAAAAAACAAACCUGAUUUAGAGUCAGAGCAGCUGAUUUAUUUUUUUGUGAGUUUAAGCAUUUCUCUGUCGAAGACCACAAAAGUGGCAUUGUUUAAUGUUCAUUAAUAAUCUUGAUAAAACUAUUUAGAAUAUUAUUGCUUUUCCUUGGAAUGUUCCUUGUGAGACGCAAGUUGAUUAUGUAAAAAUCUCAAAUAAAGAGAAGUGAAACUGAAACUAUGUCCUUCAUACCAUUUCAUUACAAACCAUUUCAAGCAAAAACAGUAUUAGAAAAAUCUUAGUAUAACAUAAGAUUCAAUCCUUCUUCACAUCUACUGCUUCGUCUUUUUCUCUGUUGCCUUCUUCCAUAAUGUUUUUCGUUUCUUUUGUCUCUUCCAUAGUUUCACCCUCUAGAUCAUUAUCUUCUUCUGCAACAGCAGGAAAACAACUCAUCACUACUACCAAAAUAAAACCAUCAACUACACUUAACUGCUUUAAACAACACCAAGUCAAUAUCCUUCCUAUGCAUGGUCCAAAACCUUACCUUAACAUGCAUCUUCUGCAUUUUGUUUCAAGCAUGCUUAAUAUAACGUUAACCCACUUUAACUAUUAAAUUAUAGAAAUUAUUCCCCUCUUAUGAGGUACGUAGUCGUAAAUGGAUUUUUCAAAAACUUGGAAACGGGGAAAAUAUUGCAAAAUCCGAAAUAAGAAAUGCAUAGUAAUUUAAAGAAUUGCAAAGAGACCGAAGCAGAGUUGGGUUGACGGUUUCACAGUUUUGUAACUUCACUCACGGGGGUUCUUACGACUACCCUCUUUUCCCUUAACACCGGAUGGAUUUGGGUCAUCGCCUUGACCUUCAACCUCGUUGCUGGAAGCUUCCAACUCCCAAGCUGAAUACAAAAUAAGGAAGUUCGUCAAAAAUAGUUCACAAUCAGUGCUGCAUCACAGAACCAGAUUAAACUAUCGUGUAGCUCGCUUACUGACACACAAAUUCUGCAUCAAAUAUUACCCAUCACGAUAUAGAAACCAAAUCGUAAGCGAGUUGUUUUAUUAAAUUAACAUCCAGCAACUAAAGGAUUCCAUCAGCACAUCAAAGGCUUCAGCUUUUUAAUACAUGACUUAAAAUUUCAAGGAAUCAUGUUCAUAUACUUUUUCUUAAUC